rnacentral:lncRNA from 1 species
GCCUUGAGCCGCUCCUGCCAUGCUCCGCGACCUCGGGGACAGAACUUUCCCCAAACCCGGUGAGGGCAGAGGCUCCAAGGUCCGCCACAGCGCGCGCAGGCGCGCGUCCUCCUCUGUGCCCCGGACGGCGCUGCGCUCCCGGGGCGCGGACCCGAGAUCCUCCCGCGAGUCCCGGCCACAUCCGAAGCUGCGGGGAGUACUGCCUGAGCUAGGCGGCCGGACCUGGGCCUCUGGCCUCAAGAAGCUGGCACCAUAGUUCUGAACUCAGGGACCACGGUUGUUCCAGCAUCACCCUGCAAAAGAGGAAAUGGAGGGAGAGUGGAAAGGGACAAUUGUCUACUGUAGCAAAUCACAUUCUUUCUCACAAAUUUUCAAAAACUGCAUGAUCCUGUGAACACAUCACCAGGAAUUGCUUACAGGGCCUUGGAAGAGGCCGGUGCAGGCCUGAGUCUCUGACCUGCACCAUUUCUUCCCCUCUGUAAAACACUUUGCAAGGAUGUUCUGCUGGUAACAGUCAUUUCCUACCUUUGCAUCCAAGAAAAUCUUUUCUCUUUUAUUCUCAGAGGACAGCUUUGCUGAGCAUUGCAUUCUAAAUUGAUGAGGAGUUUUUCCAACCUUUUAAACAUGACUCUCAUCUUCCUGGUGCCAUCUCUGUGUAGAAGCAUGAUGCGUGGCCUGUCCUGUAGUAAGAUGCAUCUCUCCAGCUUCUCGCCGGCUCCUCUCUUUGCCUUUUGUUUUCUUCAAUGCCGUUAUCAUCUCCUUGGUAUCUGUCUUAGUCAAGGUUUCUAUUGCUGCCAUGAAACACCAUGACCAAAAAGC